CAUGAGUGUCAGAGAGGCUGUCCAGACAUUUCAAACUGAUGGGUGAUGUUGGUGAGGAUGACUUGGAAGUUAUACGCACAAUUCUGGUGGAAGUACAGCUUGCACAGUUUUUCACCAGGAUACGUGAUGACCUGCAGGUUACAAGGCUAAGCCACUUUGAGUAUGUUCAUGCUGAAGACUUGGAGCGUAUUG